rnacentral:snoRNA from 1 species
UCGGCCCUGAAUCAAGGCCAGCAGUUUGCGGAAGCUUUUAGUGUUAAGCAGGAGCCUAAAGAAAUCUCUUUGUAUGGUCUGUUGACCUUUUCAGAACUUUGAAAAUGAAAUAGUCAAAUGAUCCUUAAGAAACAUCU